UCAUCACCUUCAUCUCAACUUGAAACCCAGCCUCUUCGUUGAGUCUGAUACACACACACACACACACACUGAUAAAUCUCAUUAUUACCAAACAUGGCUUCCUCACUUUUCAAGUUCACAGUCUUCCUCUUCAUUGCCCUCGUCCUUCUCUCACCCAACGAGAAUAAUGUAGCAGAAGCAAAACUGUGUGAAAAACUGAGCAAAACAUUUUCUGGGAUAUGUAUCCGCAAGAAACCCUGCAAGUCUGCAUGCGCCAAAGAGGGAGCUGUUGACGGAAGCUGUCAUACUCAUGGCUUUGGACGGGCUUGCUUUUGCUACUUCCGCUGUUGAUCGAUGAGAUCCAGAGCAGAAGAUAUAUAUCACGCAUCAUCCUUUGAAUACUAUAGGUGUUAUUAUGAAUAUAUAUAAGAUAAAUAAGUAGUGCUUCAUUCAGUUAAAGCACUGCCACAUUAUACGCCCCAAAAAUUUAUGAUGUCUGGCUGUUGUUUGCCUAUGUCUUAAUUUGUGUGUGUGUGUUUAUCCUUUUAUGUUGUUUCUCUUGGUUUGUUGAUGUCUGUUGUAAUGAAUAUAUUAAUUGUAUCUGUUUCGUGUUACAUAAUGAAGGAUUCAGUUGUGUUAUGAAAAA